CUGACAGCCUUGAAGACUCAAGCCCUCAAUUUAUUUAUCCGCAGAACAAAUAAAGUGGGAAGAGUGGCAAAGCCCUGCUUCCUGCAUUGCAUUUCCUCUGCCUGCCACACCCCUGACCUGGGGAGACCUUCUCUGAACCAGAGAGAUGGUUGUGCAAUCUUCAGACUCAUUCAAACCUUAUUUCUU
rnacentral:sRNA from 1 species